rnacentral:lncRNA from 1 species
UUUUACAAUUCAUUUUUUUAAAACACCACAUGAAGAUGAAACACACCAUACGAACUGUGAGUCUGUGACUGCCCCUGCAAAUCGAAAUCCAGACCACCAACCGUAUUCGGCGGCGACGCCCUCCUCCACCAUCUUAGCUUCCGAUCCGCUCACUUUCAGUGGUUUGACAUUUUCUCUGUAUUCCUAUUUCCCACAUUUAUCUGAUUUCUUUUUAGUACUAAUCCCUCAUUCUGCAUUUUUAUCAAACACUUACCGUGCAUUGUUCUGAAAUUAUACCAAAAUGUGCAUAUCCCAGUAUCCCACUUAUUUGGUCCACAUAAAGAAAUAAUGCUUCACUUAUUUCUAGUAUUUAGUAAUUUAAUAAUCUAUAAUCAUUGUUAGUUAUUAUGAAUAUUAUAUGAUUAGGGAUAUGUCUAAAGUUUGAAACUUUGAAUGAAUUACUGUCAUAUUCCUUAUACUCCUUUUUUGUUGGUUCUUUCUCAUGAAUUUAGAGAGCUAGACUCUGGCUUAUAAAGCCAAUGGCUUGUUAGAGAAAGAUAUUAUCGAUGUUUCUGGAGUAGAGCUAAGGGUAUCUUGUCCUGAGCAAGCAGGUAUAUUUGAUCAUCUCCUUUUUGCUUAAAGAGAACCUAGAAUAUUGAUGUUGAAAGUAACUGCUAAGAUGAAUAAUUGAUUUACCACUAUCAUAUACUGAAACCACCAACAUGACUUUUAGGUGACAUUAUUAUUAUCUUGAGAUAGGGAAAAAAUACUUAUUGUGUUAAAAACCUAUCCAUGAUCAGUAACUGAAACAAAGCUAAAAUCUCCGAAGAAGCAUUCUUGUUCCAUAAUUCAUAUAAAAUUAUGUACACAUUCAUUCUCCCAAUAUUUCAUAUAAAGUUGAUUUUCAAAGGUAGAGACUUGGUGAAGAUAAACUCUAGAGAAAUAUUACUACUUUUUGAUCUUCAUGUAAAAUGAAAGCUCUUACAACUUGUAAUAGUUAAAAGACCAAACUAAAAAAAACUUCAUUUAUUGCUCUUAAUCAUUAUAAAUCCUUUCUUUUAUGGUUCUUUCUGUUUCUAUCUUAUGUUUUCAGAGUGGUAAAUUAACACUGAAGAAUGAUGCCAUCGAAGCUCUUGUAGACACAAGGACACUGAAGAAUGAUUGAUGCCAUCGAAGUUCUGUGAACUAUAAUGUGAUGACAGAUGAGAAGGUUGUGUUGAAGUUUCUAGUGCAGAGCUGUGUAUAUUGUUUUAAAAGGUAUUCUUGAUCAUCUCCAUUCAUCUUCACUCUUCAGUAAUUUAUUUCCACUAUCAUAUACUGAAACCAUCAAUAGAUUCUUAGGUGACAUCAUUUUCUUAUAAGAUAUAGGAAAACUAUCAUUAAUGUUGAGGUAUUGAGAAUUAGUAUCUUAUACUGAAUGGAGAUGAGUAAUUUGACAUGGGGUUUAUAGUGUUAAGUGGAAUGAGUAAUUUUGUAGUGAAAUGCUGAAUUUUAUUGAUUGAAAUAAGUGGAUACAAAGAUACAAGAACAAAGCACAACAGUGCAGUGCUUUUAGCUAAACCCUAGAGGACUAGCCUAGUUUCUCUAAAGAAACUUACACAUAUGCUGAAUUUUUCUCACAAUGCCUUCUACCAUUGUAGAUGGCUUUAUUUAUAGGCCAAAGGCCUCUUUCCACUAAAUUCCUAAACUAUUAUUGUACAUUAUUACAUUUGGUUCUUUUUGCACGAACCACUAUUCACCACAUUUUUUAUUUUUUUUUGCAUGAUUCACUAUUUAUCACUAUUCAUGCUAUUUGUAUUUAAAUGGUAUUUCAUGCAUGUAUGCCACGUCCAUCUUUACUCUUGUAACAUGGCAGAUCCAUUUCCUUCUUCAAGGCAUUUGUUUUCUUCCUUACACUUGUCAAUUGCUUCAGAUUUUUCUUGCAUACAUCUUCCACAUAAGUGAUCCUUACUAACUUUUAUGCUUUUACAUAAUUCAUUGAGGACCCACUCUUUGUAAUUCAUCACCUUUUUGUCCAAUGAAUAAAAGGGGAAUUCAUAACUUGCCAGAGAUUGAAUAUUUCUAUCUUUAAGUACUUUCCCUCCAGUUUUACUUAAAAGAAGGACAUUUGAAUUUUUGUGAAGGAUGUUUAUGCAUGACAUUUUCCCAAGAGAUUGACACUGGGAAAAUAUACUUGAAAGCUGAUUAACUAAUAUUCUAUCAUAUGUUUCUUCAUUAUAUACAUUUCCAGUUGGUUCUUCCAUUAAUGGAAAAUUAUUAUUGCUAACUCCAACACAGAUGAAAUGCUUGCUGAAAAGCAUUUCGUGUCUAGCUAUUUUCGUUCCCCCCACCCACACACACACACUAGCUAGAACAUUCAUUUAUAAAACAUCUACUUACCUUAGGCUUUGUUUGCGAGUUGGUUUUUAGAGGGGAGGGAAGGGGAGGAUUUUCUUUUCUUUUUUAAAUUAAGAAAAAUGUUUUUUAAAAUGAUCUAAUUGGUUAUUGAAGUGAACCCACUUGGGUUGGUGCAUUGGUAUUGGCUUGGGACUUGGGAGUGUGCUCCUCUUGAGGUCUGUCGAUUUUCUCUGGCGCCAAUUUGGGUGGGCUAAUUUAGCUUCUUCAAAAAAAAAAUUGGUUAUUGAAGUGUAUUUCAUUAAAGAGACCUUUGCAUUUAGUUCUUCAAAAACUAAGAAAAAGGUUAAAAUAGAAAGUGAGUUCUUCAUUCACAUACCAUCUUUUGGUCUUAAUUGAAAAAUUAUUUGAGUAGUUGAACCUUUUGUUCUGCAUAAUCUUACUAUGAUAAUACUAUUAUAUUAUUAAAUGAACUUGAUAGUAUACUUUAGACCAAAGUUCAUUCUUUUUCAUUAGCAAGUACAAUAACAAAUUAGCGUGAUAUGAAUUUAUAACACAUCAGAUAAUGGCAGAUCUAUAAAAGUUCAAUGGAUACAUGGUCAUUGAUUUUGAGCAAAUGGCUUAUUUAAACUUUACCCUGACAUUUGUAUCUGUUUAAUGCUUUAUUAAGAUACUUAACUUUUUUAUUUUUGAAACAAUAUUAAGAUACUUAGCUAUGUUCAAUUCAAAGCAUAAUUUAUUUACUUGUAGUUAUAGUUUGAUAAAAGUUAUAGAAACAGAUAGAACCCUCCUUGGCAUAUAUUUAUAGACUUGCUGAAAAUCAAAUUUAUUGAUCAAUACAAACUUAAGUGAUUCCACUUAUCACUUUAUUUUGGGACAACAUACACAUAAUGUUGUUUCUUAAAGAGCUGUAAGGCUUAACUAAACAUAAAGCUCAAUAAGUGAUCUAAAACCGAAUAUGGGAAAGAUUUUAUAGUGUGUGAACCCUGAUUUUGUGAAGAUUUGUUUCCAGGUUUUUCCAUCUCUUUCUCUUCCAUUAAAACUAGCCAUCAUAACUAUGUCAAAGAAGAGCUUGACUUCUGUCAUUUCAUGCUUAUCUUGCUUUUCAUUUAUAACAAUAUCUAUUAUGAUCACUUUUCCUCCUUUGCCUUUUCUUAAUACAGCUUCUUUGCAUUUUUGGAGUAUCUUGACACAGUCAUCAUCACUCCAGUCAUGCAAAAUCCACUACAAGUGAAACAAAAUAAAAGUCUGUUAGAGAGACUCAAUGUGUAGUUUUUUUGUGUAUCAAUUAUUAUAUCAAGUAAUUAAUCUAAUGAGUAAUGUCACAACAAUAAUAUUCUUAGUUAGAUGGCAGAAAGCAAGUAAUUUGAUAGACUAGUCAUUUCCUAAUUUUGCAUACCUUGAGUAAAACUGCAUCAGCUUGAGGGAUAGAUUCAAACAUGUUUCCGCCAAGAAAACUCAAAUUUUCAUUUCCUGAUAAGCCUGCCACAACUUGUGGAAGGUCUAACACUGUGCAUUUUAACAUAGGAAAUUUCUCGCAAAUAAUUUUAGCUGUGUUUCCAGUUCCACCUCCGACAUCAACCAGAGAACCGAAGCCUUCAAAAACUGAUUUGCAAUCACUCAGUGCCAAUCUCAUCACAUGAGAAUCACUUUCCAUAGCCUCGUUGAAGGACUUCAAAUGUGUGGGAUUCUGAUGCAUAAAAUCCCAAUAGUCACCUUUGCUGGAUGCAGCCUCAAAGAUUGUGAGCUCAUCCCCAGAAGUCCAUUUACCCAAAUGAUUAUACAAAUCAACAAGAUUUGGAUUUGUUAUCAGCUGAACCAUUGAAGAUAAACAAUGGUCAGUGCCUUUGACAAGCAGCUCUGNNNNNNNNNNNNNNNNNNNNNNNNNNNNNNNNNNNNNNNNNNNNNNNNNNNNNNNNNNNNNNNNNNNNNNNNNNNNNNNNNNNNNNNNNNNNNNNNNNNNNNNNNNNNNNNNNNNNNNNNNNNNNNNNNNNNNNNNNNNNNNNNNNNNNNNNNNUUUGAGUUUGUGUGGUUUAUGGAGUGGUUAAGUUUGCUUGAUAGUUGUGAUUUGUGAAUGUUAUGUUUUCACUUGGUAAGUUUAGUAUGCUUUUAUAAGCAUCAAUGGACACUACAAACUGAAUAAAAUAUUUAUCUUUUGUUUUGACUACAGUGUACACGUACGUGUGAAAUCUGUGCGCAUUUUCUCUGCAUUUGUUUGACUGUUUACUUAAGUUUUCCCUCAUGUCUGUUGAAGUUUAUUUAUUUAUUAUUUAUUUAGGUUGUUAAAGUUUAUUUAUUUAGGUUUAAUUGCAUAAAUAUUAAAUACAAUUUUGUCUCGCUACAAGCUAACCAUUUUAAACCAAUUUUUUUUUGUCUCACUUCUUAUUCUUUAUAAUUGAUUUUAGCCCUCUUGUUUUUCCAUUUGCUAGUCCACUUUAAAUGUAAGUCAAUUAGACAUCAUUUAAUAUAAAGUUAAAUUAGCAACGUGAUUUUUAUUGAAAAUUAAACUUGCAAAAUAUUUGUACAUUCUUAUAAGUCCAUUGACUUCUGUUUGAUAUUUAAAUUCUUUAUUAUAUUAAGGUAAAAUAAUUAUUUAGAAUAAAAUAUUUAAAAACUUGUUAUAAAAUAUUAUUAAAACUUAUUAAAUCAAUAUAUUUGUUUUAUUAAGAUUAUUUUCUCAUGUAUGUUUUCAAAUAUAUUAUAAUUAAAAUGUUCUAAUUAUUCGAUUUUUUAUUUAAAUUUUUUUUUAAACUAAGUAAUUUUUUUUUUUUACUGAAUUAAGAUCAUCCUGACAUUAGGGAGUAACUAAGUAAACCAACGAAGUUGGCAUCCCUAAUCACUCCCCUCCUCUGCCCAUAGCUCAUAUAUAAAUAAAUAAAGGAAAAAAUAUAUAUACAAGGGGGGGACUAGGCCUAACCCCGAAGAACAUGUGAAACAACCUACAUAAAACGAGAACAGGGAGAUUCUAAAAUGUCCCUCAAAGACUCAUCUAUCAUGUAGUGGAAGCCAAACACCCACCACAUUAAGGACUUAUCUUUCAUAUCUCCAAACUCAGUGUACCGACACCUCAUACCGGCGGGGCACNNNNNNNNNNNNNNNNNNNNNNNNUUGGACCGGGUUUGGUAAUGUUGAUAGGCGUUGUUGGCUAAUCUGUUGUUUUUCUUUUUCCGUUGCUUCGAUACAACUGUUGUGAACUCUUGCUCUUGUGCUUGCUCUCCCUUGUCUGCCCACGCUUGCCGUAUGAGUUGUAUAUCUCUUUGUACUACUAAAGGAAGAGCACAACCUUGUGUAUCCCGAAAGAUAUUGUCCACGCUAGUGUCAGGAUCAGUGCGCUUACUAGCAGAAGAUUGAUUGCUUACUAAGUAAAUUUAACUUAGUACUAAUUAGUGAUAAUUAUUUGCUCAAAAAAAAAAACUAGUGAUAAAUAUAUAUUUGCAAAAUUACAAGCAUGCCAUACUUCACACCAAUGUUACUUUUUUUUCGCAUCAUAUUGCUAGAGGCUUCUACACCUGAGUUAGGAAAAGUUUAUAUAGUUUGAUGAAAUAAGAUACUGUAAACGAUAACGAGUUGCUACAUGUGUUGACGUGAUAUAAAUUAUUGUUCACGUUAUGUGAUAUGUGAGUCACUUGUCAUAUGUUCGUUGACUUGAGUCAGUAGAUAAAAUCGUAUAUUUGUGAAAGUUAUGAGACAAAAAAUAUUAUUAUAAAAAUUAAGAGGCAAAAAUUACAAAUUUAUCAAAGUUAGGAUAAACAAUGCAAUUUAACUUUUUCUUUUCUAAAAAACACUUUAUUUUUUUAAAACACCUGAUGUAGGAGGAUUUCUUCUGUAUAUUAUUAUUUUAGUUAGAUUUAGUUUUAUUAUAUUUUAGGUUGAUUUCUUAUUUUUAUAUUUCACCUAGGUUAGUNNNNNNNNNNNNNNNNNNNNNNNNNNNNNNNNNNNNNNNNNNNNNNNNNNNNNNNNNNNNNCGAACUGUGACAUCCCCCGCAAAUCGAAAUCCAGACCACCAACCGUACUCGGCGGCGACACCCUCCUCCGCCAUCUUAGCUUCCCCUCGCCACUCGUACGCAAUGCUGGCCAACAGCCGUGGAGCUUCACUUUCAACGGUUUGCAUUUUCUCUGUGUUCCUAAUCCUAUUUCCCACAUUUAUUUGAUUUCUCAGGACGAAUCUCUCUUUCUGUUAUCACCAUUCUGCAUUUUUAUUAAACACUUACAAAUUAUGAUCUUGCAGGUUCACAUAAAGAAAAAAAAAUGCUUCACUUGUUUUUAGUAUUUAGUAUUUACUGAUUUAAUCUUAUGAAUAUAUGAUUAGGAGUAUAUCUUUAAUUAGGAGUUAAACAACUAUGAUAAAUAGCAUAGCUGGCUUUCUAAUUUAUAAAUCAUAUGCCGUUCUAUUUUGUUCCAUUCCGUUUUGCUCCCGUAGUUUUAAGUUAUCCAAACAGAGCCUUAAGUUAAUCGGAUACUACACACUUUACAGUACUAUUUGGCGUUUGUGCUAUUAGAUUGAAUGAUUAUGCCAUCAAAGCUCUUGCAAAUACAAUGGUUUAUUUAGUGCAUGAUUGGAUUCACGGUUAGUUUGACAAAAUCACGGUGUCACCAUGAUUUCGGUUAAUCCACCAUGAUACCAAACAUGCACUUAGUUUUUGUGUCUUCUAUAGUGAAUAAUUUGUUAAGGCACUGAGAAUUAAUACUUAUUGUGUUUAGAGUUUAGACACCAGAACAGUUAUAAAAUGUAGUUAACUAAAUGAUUUUACUGUUUAGUAUUAAAUUCAUUAUGGAGACCUUUUAAGAAUUUAGUCUAGUGCAUUAUAUAUUUGUUGAAGACCAUUGCAUUUAGUUAUAAAAAAUUCAAUAGAAAAUGAGUUCUGCAGUCACAAAACUUCUUCAGGUCUUAACAGAAAUAUUCUUAGAUAGGUUUCACUCUUUAUGCUGCUUAAUCUUAUCAUGAUAGUACUUUAAUACUACUAAAUGAACUUGAUAACAUAGACAAAUGUACAUUAUUUUUCAUUAGCAAGUACAAUAACAAGUUUAGAUUGAUAUCAAUUUAUUACAUCAGGUAAUGGUAGUUUGGUGAAUAUCCCUUAGGAAAACCGUAUAUGGCAGAAGUAUAAACAAUCAACGGAUACUUGGUUAUUGAUUUUUAGCAAAAUGCUUGUUUCAAUUAUUAUACCCUGGUAUUUAUAUGUCUAUUUAAUGCUUUAUUAAGAAACUUGGCUCGACUCAAUUCAAAGAAUAAUUCAUUUACUUCUAGUUAUAGGUUGACAAAGCCUACAAAGAACAAACAGCUAGAUCCCUCAUGGGCCUCUAUUUUGCAUUUAAAGUUAGAUUAACCAUUAAUUUGGUUUACUUCAAUUCAUGUUGAGAAUUAGAAAUAAAGACUCAAAUUUCUUAUACUUUUGAGUUGGUAUAACUUCUAUUAUAUUUUUUUAUGUAUGAUGAUUCAAUCCAAAUGUGUGCACUAGUCAAUUAUUAGUAACCUUCCCUUUCAAAAUUUAUCCUAUGAAAAGUAAUUUUUGUUAAUAACCUAUCCAUGAACAGUAACUGAGAAAAAGCUACAAUCUCCGAAGAAACAUUCUUAUUCCAUGAUUCUUAUAAAAUUAUGUACACAUUUAUUCUCCCAAUAUUUCAUAUAAAGUUGAUUUUCAAAGGUAACUAAUCUGUUUCUCAGUGAUAAAAGUUCCAAAUGAGAUAAAUUAGUUAGAGACUUGGUUUACUGCUUUUUGAUGAACUGCUUCAUGUAAAAUGAAAGCUCUUACAACUUGUAAUAGUUAAAAGACCAAACUAAAACAAACUUCAUUUAUGGCUCUUAAAAAAUGGUAAGUAGUUAAAAUAUUUUUUUGAAUCUCAGCAAUAACAAAACAGUAAUAUGAAUUUCAAUGCAUAUGUAUGCCAAUACUGUAAUAAUAUUCAUACAUCCUCUUUUUUAUGAAUCUUUCUGUUUCUAUCUUAUGUUUUCAGAGUGGUAAAUGAUCAACACUGAAGAAUGAUGCCAUGGAAGCUCUUGUAGACACAUGUUUGACCUAUAAUGUGAUGACAGAUGAGAAGGUUGUGUUGAAAUUUCUGUUGUAGAGCUAUGUGUAUAUUCUAUUAAACAGGUAUUCUUGAUCAUCUCCAUUCAUCUUAAUCUUCAGAUAAAGAAAGUCCAUAUAAACGGAAACUGAAAGUAAUUGCUAAAAUCAAUGAUUGAUUACCACUAUCAUUUACUGAAACCAUCAACAGAUUCUUAGGUGACAUUAUUUUCUUGUAAGAUAUAGGAAAAAUAUUAUUAUUGUUUUGAGGGAUUGAGAAUUAGUAUAUUAAAUGUUUACUGAAAAUCAUAUCAUGUCUAGCUAUUUUCCUUUUUCGCCUGAUAGACACUAGCUAGAACAUUUAUUUAUAAAACUUCUAGUUAUCUUAGGCUUUGUUUGCGAGUUGGUUUUUGGAGGGGAGGACUUUUUUAAAUUAAGAACACUAUAAAAUGUUUUUUAAAAUAAUCUACGCCUAAAAUGUUUUUCAAACUAAUCUACGCCGAUUGAAGUAUUAUAUGAUCAUUUAUUACGUCUUCUUUCAAUUAUUUUAAAAUAUUAACUAUACAUCAGAAUAUAUAUAGACCUAGCCCUCCAAAAUCCAACUCACAAACAAAGCCUUAAAGUUUUUACUUUUCUUGCUUAAUAUUGUAUUUCAUUAAGCAGACCUUAUUAGAGUUUAUUGUAUCGUGUACUUACUGAAGACAUUUGCAUUUAGUGCUUAAAAAACUGACAAAAAGGUUAAUAGAAAGUGAGUUCUUCGGUCACAUACCAUCUUUUGGUCUUAAUUGAUUUUUUUUUUGAGAAGUUGAACUUUUUGUUCCGCAAAACCUUAUCAUGAUAAUACUAUUAUAUUAUUAAAUAAACUUAACAGUAUACUUUAGGCCAAAGUUCAUUCCUUUUCGUUAGCAAGUACAAUAAUAAAUUAGAUUGAUAUGAAUUUAUAACACAUCAGAUAAUGGCAUAUCUAUAAAAGCUCAAUGGAUACAUGGUUCAUCUGUAUGUCUGUUUAAUGCUUUAUUAAGAUACUUGGCUCUGUUCAGUUCAAAGCAUAAUUUAUUUCCGUCUAGUUAUAGUUUGAUAAAAGUUAUAGAAACAGAUAUAACCCUCCUUAAGCCACUAGGUUUGGUCUAGUGGUGAGAGAUUUGGGUCGUAUGCUAGAAGACGUAGGUUCGAUCCUCAACUUCAUCGUAAACCAAAGAUAGAACCCUCCUUGGCAUAUAUUUAUAGACUUGCUGAAAUUAGAUAAAUUCAAAAUUAAAGACGUGCUGAAAAUCAAAUUUAUUGAUCAAUACAAACAAAAAUGUUUCUUAAAGAGCUGUAAGGCUUAACUAAACAUAAAGCUCGAUAAGUGAUCUAAAACCGAAUAUGGGAAAUAUUUUAUAGUGUGUGAACCCUGCUUUUGUGAAGAUUUGUUUCCAGUUUUUUCCAUCUCUUUCUCUUCCAUUAAAACUAGCCAUCAUAACUAUGUCAAAGAAGAGCUUGACUUCUGUCAUUUCAUGCUUAUCUUGCUUUUCAUUUAUCACAAUAUCUAUUAUGAUCACUUUCCCUCCUUUGCCUUUUCUUAAUACAGCUUCUUUACAAUUUUUGAGUAUCUUGACACAGUCAUCGUCAUUCCAGUCAUGCAAAAUCCACUACAAGAGUAAAAAACAAACAAAAAAAUUUAGAGAGUGCUCAAUAAUAUAUAGCUUUUUUAUAAGUUAAUUAUUGUUUUAAAUAUAAGCUUAUGAAUAAUGUUACAACAAUCAUAAAUUCAUAUGCAUAGUUAGAUGAUUGAAAGUUAUUUGAUUGAAUUCCUAAUUUUGCAUACCUUAAGUAGAAUUGCAUCAGCUUGAGGGAUAGAUUUGAACAUGUUUCCGCCAACAAAACUCAAAUUUUCCUUUCCAGGUAAGCCUGCCACCACUUGCGGAAGGUCCAACACUGUGCAUUUUAACAUAGGAAAUGUCUCACAAAUGAUUGUAGCUGUGUUUCCGGUUCCGCCUCCAACAUCAACCAGAGAACCUAAGCCUUCAAAAACAAACUUGCAAUCACUCAG